rnacentral:rRNA from 1 species
UACAGAGGGUGCGAGCGUUUAAUCGGAAUUACUGGGCGUAAAGCGCGCGUAGGCGGCUUUGCAAGUCGGGUGUGAAAUCCCCAGGCUUAACCUGGGAACUGCAUUCGAGACUGCAUUGCUAGAGUAUGGGAGAGGGAAGUGGAAUUUCCGGUGUAGCGGUGAAAUGCGUAGAUAUCGGAAGGAACAUCAGUGGCGAAAGCGACUUCCUGGACCAAUACUGACGCUCAUGUGCGAAAGCGUGGGGAGCGAACAGG